GUCGAGCGGCGGACGGGUGAGUAAUGCCUAGGAAAUUGCCCUGAUGUGGGGGAUAACCAUUGGAAACGAUGGCUAAUACCGCAUGAUGCCUACGGGCCAAAGAGGGGGACCUUCGGGCCUCUCGCGUCAGGAUAUGCCUAGGUGGGAUUAGCUAGUUGGUGAGGUAAGGGCUCACCAAGGCGACGAUCCCUAGCUGGUCUGAGAGGAUGAUCAGCCACACUGGAACUGAGACACGGUCCAGACUCCUACGGGAGGCAGCAGUGGGGAAUAUUGCACAAUGGGCGCAAGCCUGAUGCAGCCAUGCCGCGUGUGUGAAGAAGGCCUUCGGGUUGUAAAGCACUUUCAGUCGUGAGGAAGGUAGUGUAGUUAAUAGCUGCAUUAUUUGACGUUAGCGACAGAAGAAGCACCGGCUAACUCCGUGCCAGCAGCCGCGGUAAUACGGAGGGUGCGAGCGUUAAUCGGAAUUACUGGGCGUAAAGCGCAUGCAGGUGGUUUGUUAAGUCAGAUGUGAAAGCCCGGGGCUCAACCUCGGAAUAGCAUUUGAAACUGGCAGACUAGAGUACUGUAGAGGGGGGUAGAAUUUCAGGUGUAGCGGUGAAAUGCGUAGAGAUCUGAAGGAAUACCGGUGGCGAAGGCGGCCCCCUGGACAGAUACUGACACUCAGAUGCGAAAGCGUGGGGAGCAAACAGGAUUAGAUACCCUGGUAGUCCACGCCGUAAACGAUGUCUACUUGGAGGUUGUGGCCUUGAGCCGUGGCUUUCGGAGCUAACGCGUUAAGUAGACCGCCUGGGGAGUACGGUCGCAAGAUUAAAACUCAAAUGAAUUGACGGGGGCCCGCACAAGCGGUGGAGCAUGUGGUUUAAUUCGAUGCAACGCGAAGAACCUUACCUACUCUUGACAUCCAGAGAACUUUCCAGAGAUGGAUUGGUGCCUUCGGGAACUCUGAGACAGGUGCUGCAUGGCUGUCGUCAGCUCGUGUUGUGAAAUGUUGGGUUAAGUCCCGCAACGAGCGCAACCCUUAUCCUUGUUUGCCAGCGAGUAAUGUCGGGAACUCCAGGGAGACUGCCGGUGAUAAACCGGAGGAAGGUGGGGACGACGUCAAGUCAUCAUGGCCCUUACGAGUAGGGCUACACACGUGCUACAAUGGCGCAUACAGAGGGCGGCCAACUUGCGAAAGUGAGCGAAUCCCAAAAAGUGCGUCGUAGUCCGGAUUGGAGUCUGCAACUCGACUCCAUGAAGUCGGAAUCGCUAGUAAUCGUGGAUCAGAAUGCCACGGUGAAUACGUUCCCGGGCCUUGUACACACCGCCCGUCACACCAUGGGAGUGGGCUGCAAAAGAAGUAGGUAG
rnacentral:rRNA from 1 species